rnacentral:rRNA from 1 species
CUGAUUAGCUUGUUGGCGGGGUAACGGCCCACCAAGGCUACGAUCAGUAGGGGUUCUGAGAGGAAGGUCCCCCACAUUGGAACUGAGACACGGUCCAAACUCCUACGGGAGGCAGCAGUGAGGAAUAUUGGUCAAUGGACGAGAGUCUGAACCAGCCAAGUAGCGUGCAGGAUGACGGCCCUAUGGGUUGUAAACUGCUUUUAUAAGGGAAUAAAGUGAGUCUCGUGAGACUUUUUGCAUGUACCUUAUGAAUAAGGACCGGCUAAUUCCGUGCCAGCAGCCGCGGUAAUACGGAAGGUCCGGGCGUUAUCCGGAUUUAUUGGGUUUAAAGGGAGCGUAGGCCGGAGAUUAAGCGUGUUGUGAAAUGUAGAUGCUCAACAUCUGCACUGCAGCGCGAACUGGUUUCCUUGAGUACGCACAAAGUGGGCGGAAUUCGUGGUGUAGCGGUGAAAUGCUUAGAUAUCACGAAGAACUCCGAUUGCGAAGGCAGCUCACUGGAGCGCAACUGACGCUGAA